rnacentral:rRNA from 1 species
UACGUAGGGUGCGAGCGUUGUCCGGAUUUAUUGGGCGUAAAGAGCUUGUAGGCGGCUCGUCGCGUCGGGUGUGAAAACUUGCGGCUUAACCGCAAGCCUGCACCCGAUACGGGCGGGCUAGAGUUCGGCAGGGGAGACUGGAAUUCCUGGUGUAGCGGUGGAAUGCGCAGAUAUCAGGAGGAACACCGGUGGCGAAGGCGGGUCUCUGGGCCGAUACUGACGCUGAUGCACGAAAGCUAGGGGAGCAAACAGG